rnacentral:tRNA from 1 species
ACAUCGGUGGUUCAGUGGUAGAAUGCUCGCCUGCCACGCGGGCGGCCAGGGUUCGAUUCCAGGCCGAUGCA